GCCCGGAUAGCUCAGUCGGUAGAGCAUCAGACUUUUAAUCUGAGGGUCGUGGGUUCGAGUCCCAUUUCGGGCG